GAUCCUCCUGCCAGCCAUCACCAUGUUACCCACAUAGAUGGUCACAGCUCUAUGAUACCAGGGUUGAGCAGACACCAAUAUGAUCAAUUGAUGAGCUUGUUGCAACGGACCAAGUUAAGGGAUUCCAGUGAUCAAACUCCUCCUCCCAUGUAUGCUGCUAAUUUGCUGGUACUAUGUUGACUGAGAGUCUUGUUUCUGAUUUUAAAUUAUGCAUGCUUACAUACAUUAAUUCUGUCACCUGGAUCAUAGAUUCAGGGGCAUCUAAUCAUGUGACACAUGAUAAGAACCUACUCUUUAACAUCAUACCUUUGACUGUUCCUUAUCUUGUAACUUUGCCUAAUGGUUACAAAGUGAAAGUAACUUGUUCAGGUUCUUUUACAUUAACUUCUUCCCUUACUCUUCAUAAUGUGCUUCUGGUUCCUUCCUUUAAACACAAUUUGAUUUCUAUUCACAAGUUGAUUAAACAGUUGCACUGUAUAGUUUUAUUCACCCCAACUUCCUGUUUACUUCACAUGAUACAGGACCCUUCUCUGAAGAGGCAUCUGGAUCUUGGUAAAGAGGAAGCUGGCUUAUACAAACUGUCUUGGGUGCCUCCUUCCCUUUCUCACUCUUCUGUUUCUCUUUUUACUUCUGUGUGUGCUUUGUCUAAUUUUUGUAAUGAUGACACUGUGUCUGACAGCAAAAAUGUUGGUUUACCUCCAAUUGUAAACAAUUCCAAUGCUUUGUCUGAUUUUUGUAAUGAUGACACUGUGUCUGACAGCAAAAACGUUGGUUUACCUCCAAUUGUAAACAAUUCCAUUUGUAAUAAUACUGUUAUCAAUGAUAUGAAUUACAUUUGGCAUUUAAGACUGGCACAUACUCCUUUUGCAAAUAUGAGACAUAUUUCUGGUUUGUCUUUUCCACUUGCUCCUUUACAACCCUUUCCCUGUUUUGUCUGCCUUAUGGCCAAGUAGACUAGACUUCUUUUCAUGACAGUAGUAUCAGUACAACUAGACCAUUCCAAUUGAUACAUGUGGAUACUUGGGGACCUUACCACACUUCUACUUCUUCUGGUUACAAAUACUUCCUUACUAUAGUUGAUGACUUUUCUAGGGCAACCUGGACACACUUAAUGAGAUCCAAAAGCAAUACCUUUUCCCUACUUAAGUCUUCCAUUUCUUUUGUUAAGACUCAGUUUAAUUUUGUGGUUCAGAAUGUCAGAAGUGACAAUGCCUUAGAAUUGGGAUCCAGCACUAAGGGAAUAUCCUUCUUUAGUAGCCAGGGAUCAUUCAUCAAACCUCUUGCCCUCAUUCACCUCAACAGAAUGGUGUUGUUGAAAGAAAA
rnacentral:lncRNA from 1 species